rnacentral:tRNA from 1 species
GGCAAGAUGGCCGAGCGGUCCAAGGCGCCAGGUUAAGGUCAAGCCUUAACAGCAACUCGCAAGAGUUCCUGGUCUUCGAAAGGGGGCGUGGGUUCGAAUCCCACUCUUGUCA